rnacentral:rRNA from 1 species
CUUUUUUUGGAGUGGCCAGGGUAGGUCGGGGAAGCUGGCCGGGUGAGGGGUGGGGUGCUUGAAGGGUUGGUGGCGGUGGAGAGCGAGAGCGUGGUGCAGACCCGAGACGGGGUAGGAAGGCGGCGGCGGCUGCUGGACCGAGGCCGCGUGGAGGAGGGCGGCGGCGGGACCGAGGUCUCGUGGAGGAAGGAGGCGGGGAGCCGGGUUCGUGCGGUGGGCAGAGGCGGGUAGGGUGAGGAGCCGGACUGCCCGCAGGGUGGCGACGGGGCAGGGGCUGCGUGGUGGAUGGUGGCCGGGCGAGCGGGGUUACGGGGUGGACGACGACCGGUGGACUCGGCGGCGGGAGUAAGCGCACGACACGGCACCACUGCGCGCGGGCAGGGAGGGAAACGGGACGACGGUUUAGGUGUUGCGCGUGGGGGCGCUGGGAGAGGGUCUAAGUGGCCAUGUCCACUACCAGCGCGGCGGAUACCCCUCGGGUAUCACAAACUACGUAGAGAGCCAGUGGCGCAGGGCGAGGAGAAGGUGGAGGACGUCGCCGACGCUCUAGGAGAGCAAGAAGAAGAAACAUACACGGAGCGGCCACUGUAGGCGACCACCACCACAUCGCCGGUGGCGACGACGACCACCACCACCAAUCCUCCUCCUUCUUCUACGUCUAGUAAUGUCUACCCCGUCCCGCAGCUGUCCUCUUCGUCCCGCGCUACCACCGGUACUCGGUACCGUAGGUUGAAGGAGAACAAGUGACAUCACGGCGGCGUAAGAGACCGUACCGGGGCCGCGAGGUGCGGAGACGGGCUAGAGGGCCGAGCGUUGCCGCGCUAAGAAGUGUAUGAUGGCCUAAAGUAGCCUCCUCCAGGGGGACGACGUGGAGGCGGAGGACCCAGGGCGACCGCCUUGAGCGGACAAUGAGGAGUACCGACGUGAUGAGAGAGAAUGAGAGGGAGAGAGAGAAAGACUAACUCCGCUAAAUUAGCCUUGUUUAAGUACAUGUACGAACUAACGUUCAUAAAAAAUAAUCUACGCUUGUUCUUGGGUACCGAACGAUAAAGAAUAAACAGU